rnacentral:rRNA from 1 species
UGGGAAUUUUGGACAAUGGGCGCAAGCCUGAUCCAGCAAUGCCGCGUGCAGGAUGAAGGCCUUCGGGUUGUAAACUGCUUUUGUACGGAACGAAAAGCCUCUCUCUAAUACAGGGGGUGAUGACGGUACCGUAAGAAUAAGCACCGGCUAACUACGUGCCAGCAGCCGCGGUAAUACGUAGGGUGCAAGCGUUAAUCGGAAUUACUGGGCGUAAAGCGUGCGCAGGCGGUUUUGUAAGACAGUGGUGAAAUCCCCGGGCUCAACCUGGGAACUGCCAUUGUGACUGCAAGGCUGGAGUGCGGCAGAGGGGGAUGGAAUUCCGCGUGUAGCAGUGAAAUGCGUAGAUAUGCGGAGGAACACCGAUGGCGAAGGCAGUCCCCCUGGGCCUGCANUGACGCUCAUGCACGAAAGCGUGGGGAGCAAACAGAUUAGAUACCCUGGUAGUCCACGCCCUAAACGAUGUCAACUGGUUGUUGGGGAUUUAUUUCUUCAGUAACGAAGCUAACGCGUGAAGUUGACCGCCUGGGGGAGUACGGCC